UGUAAACAUCCUACACUCUCGGCGUCCGCCCCCUGGUGGCCGGGGGUGGGACUGUUUGCACU
rnacentral:pre_miRNA from 1 species